CCUACGUGAGGCAGCAGUGGGGGAUAUUGGACAAUGGGGGAAACCCUGAUCCAGCGACGCCGCGUGAGUGAAGAAGUAUUUCGGUAUGUAAAGCUCUAUCAGCAGGGAAGAAAGAAAUGACGGUACCUGAGUAAGAAGCCCCGGUUAACUACGUGCCAGCAGCCGCGGUAAUACGUAGGGGGCAAGCGUUAUCCGGAAUUACUGGGUGUAAAGGGAGCGUAGACGGUAAUGCAAGUCUGGAGUGAAAGGCGGGGGCCCAACCCCCGGACUGCUCUGGAAACUGUGUAACUGGAGUGCAGGGGAGGCAGGCGGAAUUCCUAGUGUAGCGGUGAAAUGCGUAGAUAUUAGGAGGAACACCAGUGGCGAAGGCGGCCUGCUGGACUAUAACUGACGUUGAGGCUCGAAAGCGUGGGGAGCAAACAGGAUUAGAUACCCGGGUAGUC
rnacentral:rRNA from 1 species